GUUUGUGUGUUAGUAUGUGUGUGUGUUAGUAUGUCUGUGUCAGUAUGUCUGUUUGUGUAUGUAUGUCAGUAUGUCUGUGUGUGUCUGUGUGUGUCUAUGACAGACAUACUGACAUACACACACAGACAUACUGACACAUACACACACACACAG